rnacentral:rRNA from 1 species
UGGGGAAUUUUGGACAAUGGGGGAAACCCUGAUCCAGCCAUCCCGCGUGUGCGAUGAAGGCCUUCGGGUUGUAAAGCACUUUUGGCAGGAAAGAAACGUCAUGGGUUAAUACCCCGUGAAACUGACGGUACCUGCAGAAUAAGCACCGGCUAACUACGUGCCAGCAGCCGCGGUAAUACGUAGGGUGCAAGCGUUAAUCGGAAUUACUGGGCGUAAAGCGUGCGCAGGCGGUUCGGAAAGAAAGAUGUGAAAUCCCAGAGCUCAACUUUGGAACUGCAUUUUUAACUACCGGGCUAGAGUGUGUCAGAGGGAGGUGGAAUUCCGCGUGUAGCAGUGAAAUGCGUAGAUAUGCGGAGGAACACCGAUGGCGAAGGCAGCCUCCUGGGAAAACAAUGACGCUCAUGCACGAAAGCGUGGGGAGCAAACAGG